GGUCUGAGAGGAUGACCAGCCACACUGGAACUGAGACACGGCCCAGACUCCUACGGGAGGCAGCAGUGGGGAAUAUUGCACAAUGGGCGCAAGCCUGAUGCAGCCAUGCCGCGUGUGUGAAGAAGGCCUUCGGGUUGUAAAGCACUUUCAGCGGGGAGGAAGGCGAUAAGGUUAAUAACCUUGUCGAUUGACGUUACCCGCAGAAGAAGCACCGGCUAACUCCGUGCCAGCAGCCGCGGUAAUACGGAGGGUGCAAGCGUUAAUCGGAAUUACUGGGCGUAAAGCGCACGCAGGCGGUCUGUCAAGUCGGAUGUGAAA
rnacentral:rRNA from 1 species